UAGUCCUAGCCGUAAACGAUGGGCACUAGGUGUUGGAGGAGUCUACCCCUUCAGUGCCGCAGCUAACGCAUUAAGUGCCCCACCUGGGGAGUACGAUCGCAAGGUUGAAACUCAAAGGAAUUGACGGGGGCCCGCACAAGCGGUGGAGCAUGUGGUUUAAUUCGAUGCAACGCGAAGAACCUUACCUGGGCUUGACAUGCAGGGGCUAGGUGCAGAAAUGUACCCUUCUUCGGACCCCUGUGCAGGUGCUGCAUGGCUGUCGUCAGCUCGUGUCGUGAAAUGUUGGGUUAAGUCCCGCAACGAGCGCAACCCCUGUCUUUAGUUACCAUCAGGUUAUGCUGGGGACUCUAGAGAGACUGCCGGUGACAAACCGGGAGGAAGGUGGGGACGACGUCAAGUCAUCAUGGCCCUUACGCCCAGGGGCUACACACGUGCUACAAUGGGUCGGUGCAAUGGGGCUGCAAUACAGUGAUGUGGGAGCGAAUCCC
rnacentral:rRNA from 1 species